AAUAUGUUAUUUUUCUGCAUUCACAUAAUCUCUUCACUUUUUUGAGUGAAUUUUUAAUCCGCACACACCAUCAUUUGUUACACGUCAGUGAAAUAAACAAUGCACAUCUUCCGCCACAUCCCCAGAGCAUCGUCGAUGGAGAUUGAUUGGCCUGAUUGCUGGACGAGCGAUUAAUGAGGUUGAAAUAGAGCCGACAAUCUGGGUGGCGUGAGGAAGUGAUGACGGAUUGAAGGUAGGAGAAUGGCAGCACUUGAUGUGAAUCAUACGAUGUCUUUUGAAGAAAAAAAAUAACUUUAAAAAGCUACAAUGAUUUGUCGAG